rnacentral:rRNA from 1 species
CCUACGGGGGGCAGCAGUGGGGAAUAUUGGGCAAUGGAGGCAACUCUGACCCAGCAACGCCGCGUGAAUGAUGAAGGUCUUCGGAUUGUACAGUUCUUUUCUCAGUGAAGAAGACAGUGACGGUACAUUACGAAUAAGCCUCGGCUAACUACGGGCCAGCAGCCGCGUUAAUACGUAGGAGGCAAGCGUUAUCCGGAAGGACUGGGAGGAAUGGGUGCGUAGGUGGGUUGGUAAGUUGGUAGCGUAACUCCGGGGCUGUACCUCGGCACUACUACCAAAACUGUCGGACUUGAGUGCAGGAGGGGCAACUGGAAUUCCUAGGGUAGCGGUGGAAUGCGUAGAGAGUAGGAGGAACACCAGUGGCGAAGGCGAGUUGCUGGACUGUAACUGACAUUGAUGCGCGAAAGUGUGGGUAGCAAACAGGAUUAGAUACCCCGGUAGUC